rnacentral:rRNA from 1 species
CCUACGGGGGGCAGCAGUGGGGAAUAUUGGACAAUGGGGGCAACCCUGAUCCAGCCAUGCCGCGUGUGUGAAGAAGGCCCUCGGGUUGUAAAGCACUUUCAGUGAGGAAGAACGCCUGGUGGUUAAUACCCAUCAGGAAAGACAUCACUCACAGAAGAAGCACCGGCUAACUCCGUGCCAGCAGCCGCGGUAAUACGGAGGGUGCGAGCGUUAAUCGGAAUUACUGGGCGUAAAGCGCGCGUAGGUGGCUUGAUAAGCCGGUUGUGAAAGCCCCGGGCUCAACCUGGGAACGGCAUCCGGAACUGUCAAGCUAGAGUGCAGGAGAGGAAGGUAGAAUUCCCGGUGUAGCGGUGAAAUGCAUAGAGAUCGGGAGGAAUACCAGUGGCGAAGGCGGCCUUCUGGACUGACACUGACACUGAGGUGCGAAAGCGUGGGUAGCAAACAGGAUUAGAUACCCGAGUAGUC